rnacentral:rRNA from 1 species
GAUGAACGCUGGCGGCGUGCCUAAUACAUGCAAGUAGAACGCUGAAGGAAGGAGCUUGCUCUUUCCGGAUGAGUUGCGAACGGGUGAGUAACGCGUAGGUAACCUGCCUGGUAGCGGGGGAUAACUAUUGGAAACGAUAGCUAAUACCGCAUAACAGUAGAUGUUGCAUGAUAUCUACUUAAAAGUUGCAAUUGCACCACUACCAGAUGGACCUGCGUUGUAUUAGCUAGUUGGUGAGGUAACGGCUCACCAAGGCGACGAUACAUAGCCGACCUGAGAGGGGGAUCGGCCACACUGGGACUGAGACACGGCCCAGACUCCUACGGGAGGCAGCAGGAGGGAAUCUUCGGCAAUGGACGGAAGUCUGACCGAGCAACGCCGCGUGAGUGAAGAAGGUUUUCGGAUCGUAAAGCUCUGUUGUAAGAGAAGAACGAGUGUGAGAGUGGAAAGUUCACACUGUGACGGUAUCUUACCAGAAAGGGACGGCUAACUACGUG